CCAAUGAUACCACAUAGCUUUAAUAUCCACCACCCUUCACAAGCAAUCACUCAAACACAUAUAGGCCAACGUCAGGCCUACACUAACGAAAUACACAUCAAGCCUAAUCCGGUACCUAAGCCAGACUUAGGACUUAAUGUCAGAACCUGCAAGCAAAUCAAUCAACCACAAACACAAUCACAAUAAUAAGACUAUAUCUACGACUCGAUCUAACUCAUAACACCGUAUAUCAGUGCUACACUAACUCUAGGGUUCCAUAACCCUCUACGACACUCUAACACAACACAACACACU
rnacentral:lncRNA from 1 species